rnacentral:rRNA from 1 species
GAUGAACGCUGGCGGCGUGCCUAAUACAUGCAAGUCGAGCGAACAGACCAGGAGCUUGCUCCUCUGACGUUAUCGGCGGACGGGUGAGUAACACGUGGAUAACCUACCUAUAAGACUGGGAUAACUUCGGGAAACCGGAGCUAAUACCGGAUAAUAUAUUGAACCGCAUGGUUCAAUAGUGAAAUUAGGUUUUUCUGUCACUUAUAGAUGGAUACGCGUCGAAUUCGUUAGUUGGUACGGUAGCUGCUUAGCCAGGCUACGAUGCUUAGCCGACCCGAGAGCGUGAUCGGCCACACUGUCAGUGAGACACGUUCCAGACUCCGACGCUGGGCCGCAGUAGGGAAUCUUACGCAAUGGACGAAUGCCUGACGGAGCAACGUCGCGUGAGGGAUGAAGGUCUUCGGAUCGUAGAACGCUGUUAUUCGGAAAGUAGAAAUGUUUAAGUAACUAUGCUCGUCUUGACGGUACCUAAUCAGAAAGCCACGGCUAACUCCGUG